CGCGCGGCCCGGAGCGACGCGUCGUUCAUGAGCGCGGCCAGGUCCGCGCCGGAGCAGCCCGACGUCGCCGCGGCCAUGCGCGGCAGGACCUCGUCCGCGCAGCCCG
rnacentral:SRP_RNA from 14 species